UACGUAGGCAGCAAGCGUUGUUCGGAAUUACUGGGCGUAAAGCGUGCGUAGGCGGUCCUGUAAGUUUGGUGUGAAAUCUCCCGGCUCAACUGGGAGGGUGCGCCGAAGACUGCAGGGCUUGAGUAUGGGAGAGGUAAGCGGAAUUCCUGGUGUAGCGGUGAAAUGCGUAGAUAUCAGGAGGAACACCUGUGGUGUAGACAGCUUACUGGACCAUAACUGACGCUGAGGCACGAAAGCGUGGGUAGCAAACAGG
rnacentral:rRNA from 1 species